AGGAAGCCUUAUAAGAGACACACGUCAGUCAAGGACUGCAUUUCAUGGGCAGCUUGGCAAGAGUUUCCUCCCACCAGGUCCUUCCUACAGUCAGGUGGAGUCCCCUGGGAGUACUGUGGAGUCAACGCAGAACUAAAGGACAACAAAGCGAGUUUAUGGCUUGGUAAAUCUCAGCAAAAGCAAAGCAAGUUCUUCCUGGCUGGUCCUUCUCUUUUCUCAGCCAGACUCCAUUUUGUCCACUUGGGGGUUUCUUUGUUGGCUGUUUUUUAUUAUUUUCCUCUCCUUGUUUUAAAAUGCCGAUGCAUUGACAGAUGUUUCCCAUAUAUUUCCAUUCUAUGGCGCUUUAAAUCUUGCUGCUGUAGCAGCUACAAGUCCUUUCAAGGGAUUAUUGCCUUCAUUCUUACACCUGGGUCAUCUGGAUAUCUGAAGGGAGAAAGCAACAUUCUCUGCUGGCUCUGUGAUUAAAAUGAUUUAUCUUGCCACAUCUCACAGUAUCACACUGAGCACAAUGCCACCACUCUUCUUGAACACAGGCUCCUGCACUAAUGGCUUUUUUUCCCCCAAGCAGGAAUGAUUUCAAAACCCCAGUGUUUUGUUCUGUGGCUACAAAAAUACCUGGUGCUCAAAGCCAAAUUCAGAUGGAAGCAAUACAUUAGGUGGGAACCACACUAAAAUUCAAAGCAACCUUGUGUAUUAGUCAGAUAAUGUAAAGCCAGCAUCCAGAAUGAUGAUAGCAGGAGUAUGUUCAUUAACUGAAGGCAUCACAGCUGCCUUUCUGCUGCUGAGCUCUGCAGUAGCAUGCAGUUCUCACGCCCAGAAACAUCUCUCAGAAUCAAUGCUGCUUUGGUAAUAUAGUUUAAUCUAAGCAUUACCUCAUUUAUCCUACUAUAGACUGAAAUUUUAUCUUUCUUUUUACAUCACUUUUUUUUCUCCUUUGCAACAAAAUUCACAUUUAAAAUAAAUGCUAUAAGCAGUAGUUGCACUGCCCAACACAGUGACAAUGCUCACAAAAUGCCAUGGAGAAAUAAAAUAAAUCCAGGGUUUACUGAAUGAUGGAGUUCAGUAUUUUACCAUGUGUUGCCCUGUAUCUUCAAUUUCCUGCCUUUAGAGAGUCCAUUCAGCCUUGUAUUUGACUCAAAGUGGAAGAAGAAUGCAAUAUACAUGUCAACUCAUAAUACAGCCUGGCCCUAUCCUGAUCCUCUCUCUUAAAAGAUGCUGUUCCUAAAUAUCUCAGCUGGUGAGGCAAAGCAGAUUGAUGGCUGUUGGGGAAGGUUGGUGCAUACCCACACCCUGAGCAGUGCUGUUCCAUUAUGUAAAUCCUAAAAGCCCUUGCUUUUUGACUCCCUGAGCCAGGUAUGUGGCAGCACCACUUACCAUCUUUUUCCCUUUUUCUCUUUUAUUUUUUCCCAGUUCCCAGUAAUGAAAACAGUAGAUACAAAGGCCAGAACUGGAUGACUUGCUGCCCCACUGCUCCUGCAUCUGACAGCACCAGCCCACCCUGCCAAUUAGGUGAUUAAAUGAGGGAAACAGAACUCUCCAACAGCAAACUGCUCAUUGCACAGUCUUUCCUAUAUGGGACCAGCUCAGGAGGACCCCAGAUCUCUCUCAGCACAGGCAAGGGGGACAGAUAACUCCCCAGACUGGAAAUAGGUGUCCAACCAACCAGGCAGGCCAGCUGCCUUUGCAUUUUCUUUAUCAGCCACCUGCUGUAUGACCCCAGUCCUGUACUGUGCACUUGUGAUGGGAGCAAAGAGAUCUCCUUGCUAUCUGUACAAGACAAUCGAGUCAUUUAGCAGCAAUUAGGCUCCCUACCAGCUUAAGUCAUUUACAAUUAUACAAUGGCUCCUAACAGCUCCAGAGUCCCAAGACACUAUUUGAGAGAGGUCAUAAACCAGGCAGGGGUGUUGGCAGAGCUGAAAAGGAGCAUGAAGCUAAAUAAGGAAAAAUGAGGUGGCCCAUAAGGUUUAACCCUGAAGUGCCUCGGUGAGAACCACUCUUCUACCAUUCAAACACUUGUCAGCCCCUUUCCAGAGUAAAGAUAAUA
ensembl:lncRNA